AACAAUAAUUACAGCAUUGCAUAAUAAUACAUAUUAAUGGAUAAAUAGAUAGGUAAAUAGAUUGAUAGAUACAAAGUUUGUAUAGGGCAGAUAGUUAUAUUUCAGCAUUUAAACAGGUGUAUGAACUGAUUUGAUUGAGUAAUCGCUGCUCAUUGAUAAGAUAGCAGGUCGGAAGAUAAAAAAGCGAAUACGUGGGGCAAUUUAUGCGUUGACAUUACAUUCUUCGAAAUGGAUGAUAGUCAAUACUUGGUGGUUGUUUCUCUCCGCCCGAAGCGUAGUUUCUUUGUGUGAUCGGAAGAUCAGUUCGUGAAUUCCUUGUGAUGCUUACAUGUCCAACACAUGAAUGGCAGGUGAUGGUGAUGUCAUGGAAAUGUCCCUCUUAAAGAAUUCGCUACGUGUCAGUGAGAUCAUACUAAGGGGGAGUGUCUUAUCAUAGAGUUCAUAUGUUGGUAUAGGCACUAUAGCUCGCUUGAGGGGUGCCUACAUCAUUCUAGUUCACUACGAUUCCAGAACAUUGAGUGACCCGGUCAGACCGCUAGAGAGACUGUGAAAACUGGCCCUAGAGAGAACUCUUCUAUUUGGUGACUAAGCCCCAUGGGAAUGUUUGAUGACUGGAGUAAAGAAGCGAAAAGACUAUGUUUACUAUGUGACGUUUUAUUUUGUUGAAUGAAUAUGUCAGUGGUCUAAUGGAGGUGUUUCAUUUUCAGUAGGAAAGUUUUUCAAUUUUUGGAUUUGGCUCAGUUAGCCCAUGUGUCGCUGGAGAACAAUCCGUUCUCUCUAUAUGGAGCCUGUUUUUUGUUAAUCCAAAUUGCUUAAUAGACAGAGCUUUGUCUUGUUGUUCCUAGAAUAAACUUUCUUCUUUUUAUA